CCUACGGGUGGCUGCAGUGGGGAAUAUUGGGCAAUGGAGGAAACUCUGACCCAGCAACGCCGCGUGAAUGAUGAAGGUCUUCGGAUUGUAAAGUUCUAUCAGCAGGGAAGAAAGAAAUGACGGUACCUGAGUAAGAAGCCCCGGCUAACUACGUGCCAGCAGCCGCGGUAAUACGUAGGGGGCAAGCGUUAUCCGGAAUUACUGGGUGUAAAGGGAGCGUAGACGGUAAUGCAAGUCUGGAGUGAAAGGCGGGGGCCCAACCCCCGGACUGCUCUGGAAACUGUGUAACUGGAGUGCAGGAGAGGCAGGCGGAAUUCCUAGUGUAGCGGUGAAAUGCGUAGAUAUUAGGAGGAACACCAGUGGCGAAGGCGGCCUGCUGGACUGUAACUGACGUUGAGGCUCGAAAGCGUGGGGAGCAAACAGGAUUAGAUACCCGAGUAGUC
rnacentral:rRNA from 1 species